rnacentral:lncRNA from 1 species
UACCAGAGCUCUCGGAGAUCAACAAAGGUGCCGCUUUUGAAUGUGAAAGUUUUUUCAAGACUUUUCUAUUUCUUGGUUUGAAUCGUGUGCCUGUAGGGACACAUGCUACCUGCUUACUGGACAGUGACUACUUAGGAUAAGGACUCAGGCAAGUAAGGUUGCAUUUUAGUCUCUCAGAUAUGGGGGGAAAAUUUUGGUGACAUUGGAGAGAGAGAUAAAUGAAAUAUUUUAUUAAAUUUAGAAUUUAAUGUAAAGUAGCAUAUACAGAGGCAAGAAACAGAAUAAUGUGUUUUAUGGUUGUCAGCUACCAUCUUUAAUUGCAAUGAAUGAGAAUUCUUGUUGCUUUAACAUCCUUGCCUGCAUUUGUUGUUAGUGUUUUGGAUUUUCGUCAUCCUAAUAUAGGAAUAAAUCUUCAGAAUCAGAUGAUCACCUGGCCACAUUUUCAUGCAUUCUUUUCCUAUGACAGCAGAUGAGAGUGGGAGAGAAAGACACACAAGUGGAGAAGAUAAAUAGUAAUUUGGAACCAAAACUCAGGACGUCCCAGGAGAGGCUAGAUUAGGAAUUCUUUGAUUUGGGAUCACGAAAAUGAAGUAUCCAUAUUUUAACAGAAUGAUUAGUGGCAGAGGAAUCAUCUAAGAAAACUGAGAAGACUCUGCCAGAGUGAUGGGAAGAAAACUAGAUGAGAAAGCACCAUUCUGGAAGACAUGCUCCCAUGAACCAUGGAGAGAAGAGGAGAGGGAAGAAGUUAUUUGUGAUGUCAUUUGCCUGUGUCAUGGCCUGCCUUCCCUAGAUAUUGUCCUAAUGUGAGCAUCACACCUAAGGUACUGAAGUAGAGUUCUGGCUGUUCCUUACGGACAUCUCUGGUGGACCUCCAUCUGUUUUUGAUACAAGUCAGUCUUUUCCUGGACUUUUGGUAUCAUAUGGACAAUGUCAGUCAUUUGGCUGAAAAGUUCAACUUGAGCAGUUUUAACAUCUUGGAGCACUACUGGAAGAUUCAUUUUUCCGUCAUAACUAUCAUCAUCUUGAUUACAAUCAUCAGAUGUCACAGUGGGAUAUCCAGUUGAAUCUUGGUGCCGAAUCUUACAUUUGUGGUAAACAUUUUUAAGAGACUGUCUGACCUUGGAGAGAUUUGAAGUCCACAUCUGCCUAGCAGCAGCUUUUACCCUUUUGGUGUGAAGUGUGUACAUCUUUCAUGGUGAAACAAGAGGCAAGGUGUUGGAAAACAGAAUCACAGGAAGAAAUAAUGUACAAAUGAAAUGGUCCUUCUCUUACUAUUUGUUGGAUGCCUUUCCUGAUAACAUCUUAGAACACUCUGGAAAUCAUCAGCCACAGCAAUAGACACUGUUAGGUGAUUAGCUUCUUAUAGAGCAGCCCAACCAGAGAGCUCUGUGAAAUAAUAGUCAACUGCAUGGAAUCUUUCAUAUGGUAAUCAUUGACCUGCUGCUGAUGUCACAAUGACUGCUGGCUUAGAACAAACAUAUUUAACUACAGCAGUUCUCAAAAGUUUUGGUCAUAGGGCUCUUUUUGAAUCAUAGAAAUUGUUGAGCAGCCUGAGGAACACAGAAAAACACCUGUUGCUACAAAAAAAUAAAAAAAUUAGCCAGCCAUGGUGGUGCAUGCCUGUAGCCUCAGCUACUUGGGAGGCUGAGGUGGGAGGAUCACUUGAGCACAGGGGGUGGAGACUGUAGUAUGCCAUGAUGGUACCACUGCACUCCAGCCUGGGCGACAGUACAAGACUCUGUCUCAAAAUGAAUAAAUAAGUAAAUUCAACAACAGAAAUUGAGGAUGAGGAACAUGGUGUUGCAGUUCAAACCAGUUCCAGCCAAAAUGGACUCUAGUCACAAACAAAUAGUAAUAACAAUCCAAACUUGUGGCUGAAUAGAGUUCUGAAGUUUUGAGAAAGAGCCAAGAGAAAAUUCAGUGUGAAGAUGAUGGAGUGACACAAUAGAAGGAACCUGAAUCACUGAAUCAUCACUUGGAAGAAAGCAGCCCAGACUAGUUACCCAACUCCCAUCAGACAGUGACCAGAGUGAGAAAUAAGCCUUGUGUAUGGU